rnacentral:rRNA from 1 species
CCGGCGCACGGGUGCGUAACGCGUAUGCAACCUACCUUUCACAGGGGGAUAGCCCGGAGAAAUUUGGAUUAAUAUCCCAUAAUAUUGUUGGAUGGCAUCAUUUGGCAAUUAAAGUUACGAUGGUGGAAGAUGGGCAUGCGUCCUAUUAGCUAGUUGGCGAGGUAACGGCUCGCCAAGGCGACGAUAGGUAGGGGUCCUGAGAGGGAGAUCCCCCACACUGGUACUGAGACAGGGACCAGACUCC